rnacentral:rRNA from 1 species
UACGGAGGAUCCGAGCGUUAUCCGGAUUUAUUGGGUUUAAAGGGUGCGCAGGCGGGAGAUUAAGUCGGCGGUGAAAUUUUGCAGCUCAACUGUAAAAGUGCCUUCGAAACUGGUUUCCUUGAGUGUGGAUGAAGUAGGCGGAAUUUGUGGUGUAGCGGUGAAAUGCAUAGAUAUCACGAGGAACUCCGAUUGCGCAGGCAGCUUACUAAACCAUAACUGACGCUCAGGCACGAAGGCGUGGGGAUCAAACAGGAUUAGAUACCCU